CAGGUUUUGAGAGCUGAGCAGGCUCCAGAGGGAUGUUUUUCUUCUCCGUUUGUCUGCUGUGUCUGGCCCGUAAAACCCACCGGAACUCCAUGCUGGACGGAGGAAUUCCUGCUGAACGGGGACCUGGAGAAGGCAGGCAGGGGGGAGCCCUUAUCAGGGCAGAGACCACCCCCAUCUUCGAGGCCCCACCUCUGGGUCAGGCGUCUGGAGACUAAAACGCAGAAGCUGAGGUCCAGGGUCACAGCCCAGCUCCAGCGAUGGGACGGGAGGCUCUUUCCCAACCAGCACCUUGUACCUUCCGGGGAACAUUGGAGGAGGAGCACACGAGCAGCUGGGGGACCCUGAGCAAGUGGCCUCGCCUCUCUGAGCACUGUUCCUCACCUGUGAAAUGGGAACAGAUGCUCUAUGGGGCUGCUGAGGAGGAGUCAAGGAGCCAAUGCAGGUCCUGUGGCUGAGCAAUUCAGACAGGGCACAGUGGGGACCGCUUGUCUCUGUUCUACAGUGUUUGGGUCAUCAGCCGGGAGGCGACUCAACGGCUGGGGCUGGAAUCAUCGAGAGGUGACGUCACUUCCACCUGUGUCGGAUGACACUGCCCGUCAGCCAGAGCCCCUCCAUGUGGCCUGGGCUUCCUUGUAGCAUGGCAGCCGGCUUCCGAGAGCGAGCGUCCCAAGAGAACCUGGCGGAAGCUUCAUGGCCUUUUCCAGUCUGGUCUUGGGGGUCAUACAGCAUCAUUUCUGCAGUGUUCUGUCUGCAGGAGCUGUCACAACACCCUCCCCACCAAGGGAAGGGACAGAGGCUCCAUCUCACGAUGGGAGGAGGAGCGUGGUUCUAAAAGAGCUUGUCCCCACCGGGGAGAUACCAUUGUGACCAUCUUUGGAAGACACCUCUGCAGUAGGAGGUGACCCCAGGAAGUUCUGGGGAAUGGAGAAAUGCUGUUAAAGGGUACACUGCUGAGUCGGUUGACCUGGUGGACAACCGAGGCUCACUCCUGCUGGGGACUCAAGAAGCCAUACAGUUCUGAUGCGUGAGACCCCAUGCAUCAGAGUCAUGCAUCAGAGUUCUCCCUCUAAGGGAUGGGGGCUGCAUAUUUAUUCCCUAGUUGAGGGUGGCCUGAGGAUGUUAAAUCGCUGCCCUUUCUGGGCUGCUCUGGACUCGGACCGAGCGAGCCUCUGAGCACUCGCUGAUGACGCUGCCUCCCUGUGGUGACCCCAGAGGGGGCCCAAGGGAAUAAGGGGCAA
rnacentral:lncRNA from 1 species